GAUCCUGGCUCGGGAUGAACGCUGACAGAAUGCUUAACACAUGCAAGUCUACUUGAACUUCGGUUUGGGUGGCGGACGGGUGAGUAACGCGUAAAGAACUUGCCUCACAGUUAGGGACAACAUUUGGAAACGAAUGCUAAUACCUGAUAUUAUGAUUUUAGGGCAUCCUAAGAUUAUGAAAGCUAUAUGCGCUGUGAGAGAGCUUUGCGUCCCAUUAGCUAGUUGGAGAGGUAACGGCU
rnacentral:rRNA from 1 species